rnacentral:rRNA from 1 species
UUUGGUGUCAAAAGCGUCGGGGUCCACCUCUUCCCAUUCCGAACAGAGAAGUUAAGCCCGAUUGCGCCGAUGGUACUGCUCCCAAAGAGUGGAAGAGUAGGUAGACGCCGCCC